AACAACGGAAUGUGUCUGAGACCGUGUGUAUGGAUACAUGUGUACUUAAAACAGCUCCGCCGGUGUGUAGAGCUCUUGCUGUAAGUCAACACUUUACGGAGGGAGAUACCGCCUUAAGCCUCUGAACAACUUUAUGAGGUGGACACCUGAGACUCUGAUUAAGAAACUUGCCCCAAAGUUUUACAACUAGCCUAUUUCUAACAGCCUUAUUUAUGUGAAUUCUUAUUCUAACCUGGAUUGGAAUCAGAAAAUUGGACAGUGUUGCAGGUACUGAUUGAUGCAGGCACACUGACGGCCACAAAAGUGAGAACUGACUGCACUACAAGAAAGGUUAAAAAAAGUCCUUCAGACAGAAGGGAAAUGAUACCAGAUGGACAUACAGAUUUAUACAAAGGAAUGAUGAGCACUGGAAAAGGGAACUACAUGGAAUGUUAUCUUCCAGGAGGGCAGGCCUCUGUCUUUUUGUUGACUCCAGCACCUAGCAAGUAUUUGACACAUAAAAGAUGUUCAGUAUUUGGAUUGGUUCCUGGAAGUGGAACUACUAUAUCAGAGAUUUGGACAUAUUUAAGACUCCAGAAAGGUAAUACAGUAAUAGAUGAGUUUGUAAAUUUCAUUGCAUUCUUAGCAACAUGAGUUAUUAGCACUUAUUUUCAAUCUCUGUCAAUCUGAUGAAGUGACUUUUUCUGUAAUUUAGUUUGAUAAAGUUGUGUUUUUGCUCAUACAUUCAUAUCAAUAACUACUAUUUCAAGGACUUCUCCAUCAUGCUUAACAUAGAUCCUUGCCCAAUGUUGAAGAAAUGUAUUUUUUUAUUGACUUUGGCAAUAUUUCUUUUAAAAUAAAUUAUAUUUUGAACAUAUAGAAAGGUGAAGAAAAAUAACAAAGAAGGAUCCAGAUUAUGUUACUUAAUAAAAAGUAAGACUGUAUUCAAUUCUUAAUGCAGUAGUAGACAGAGCAUGAUUACUAUCAGCUAGCAAUGUCCUAUUUAUUGAAUUUAUUGAUCAAAAUCAUAUUGAAUUUAUUGCUUAAAUGUGCCAUUUUCACUAUAGCACUUUCCAAAAUGCUUCAAAAUGCUUAGUUUAUAAGGUUAAGAGAAACAUUCACUAGAUAACUACUUUGAAAUAAUUUCCUCAACCCUGCCAUCAUUUAAGAGGCAGAGAAACAGACUGGCCCACUUCCAACUUUCUUUCCUGUUAUCUUUGCUAUGAAGUCAUUCUAUAGAUAGGGUAAUAACCAUUCUGGCCUACAGAGAAAUAGCAUCUGUAAAACUAUAUGGCACAGUUUGGCUGGGGUUGUUCCUCCUUCGGAACUGCAUUACGUAAUUUAAAAGUGUUUACUUAAGCUCCUUUGGGCUGCCUCCAUGGUAGCUAUGAAGUCACUGAGAAUUAGAAACAGUUUGGGCCUGAUAACAAAGUCUGUUAGUUUAGCGUGAACCCUUUGUCAAGUUUUUUUUUUUUAAUCACUGCUGUAUAAGGAACUUUAAAACUUUAAUUUUAAAAGAUAUACUUGAAUUUAACUUGCUACUUCAAAAAUCAUUAAGAAACACACACACCCCCAAAGGGUUCAUAAAUGUACAUUUGCUCAUUACCUAGAUGUAUUUAUUUUAAAACCUGUACUCUAUAGCAUGAAUUCACAGUGUGAUUUUUGACUCAGUAUAACUGUAAAUAAUUAUGCAAAAUUGCUAAAAUGUAUAUAGGUAUUACAUAGCCUUUAGGAGAGUAUGAAUUCUUAAAAUAGCCCAAGCAUCACUUCUAUCUGAAUCGUAAAGGAAGUCUUUCUAAGAGAACAUGAAAGAUAUAUAAAUUAUAUCAGCUUUGGGAGAAUUUUAAAAGAUACUAAGUUAUAAGAAAAGAUUAUUUAAUCUUGAUUGCACAAAGAAAGGUAGUAUUUUCAGUUCCUUCAAAAGAUAACUUUUGAGCCCCUUUACCAACAAAUAACAAUGGGUACUGGUUUUAAACAAAAAUAAAGCAAUAUGCAUUAUAAAAGUGAGAGAAGAGUCAUUCAAGUUUUAUAUUGUAAUAAUCAAGUGUACUAUCACCUCAAGGAAACAUGCAAAUUCUUAAAAUCCCAACCAUCACUUUAGAAUUACUGAGUUCUAUGAAUAAAUAAGCCUAAGUACAGUCAAGAUCCUGACAUCUAAAAACAUACAGCCCUUUUUUUAGAAAUGUUAUUUUGUCUUAAUUAUAUAACAUGGAUGUAUUAUAAAAUUACUUACUAGAAUAAUCUCCAUAGCAUUUUGAUUUUUAACUUUAAGAAGUAAGGACAUUCACUGAUGGCCUUGCCAGUGAUCUAGUAAGGUCCAAAGCCAGGGACAAUUCAAGGGGGAGAUGAAAAAAACUUUUAGGACCUGAUCACCUCCUUGGAGGUACAGCCACUGUGGGGGGUCCUACCUAGCUUGGGAGAGAGAGGUGUCUGUGUACAGGAGGCUUGACUUGAAGGGGAGGGAAUGGUCACGAAGGAGAAGUG